ACUGGAAGUUGCUGUGAGGUCCUCACACCACCUCUGGGAUGCCGUAGGGAGAGAACAUGAUGAAUUUAUGGCUGAGAACAGUGUUUUGCUUCUUCCUAUGACAUCUAGAAAUGGCCAUUAGGCAGGCUGGGAAGAGGAGGAGAUGCACAGAUGCUGAAAGGAGUUGGAGAUGAGAUGCUGUGUUGGGCAGCGCUGGCUUGGCUGAAUAUUGAUAUUGGCUCCAACACAAGGAGGCACAACAAUAUCUAAGGAGCAGCAGUCGCAGGCAGGCUCUCAGGAAAGCCUUUCAUCUCUAAACCAGGCCUGGCCACAUGGCUGCGAGGCUCAGAGAGAAGCAAAACAACCGUUUCUGCCCUGGACACACAGGGAAAACGAGCAGCAUGAGAAGGCUGUGGAUAUACAGGAGCGAGUCCAGUGGAGGCCACCAAGAUGUGGAGGUGGACAGAGCACAGGACAGAUGAGGAGAGGCCAAGAGCACCAGGUCUGUUCAGAAAAGAAGGCUUGGGGGAUGAUACUGCUGUCUGCAACUACCAAACAGGGGGGUUAUUGAGAGGACAGAUGAAUGCAACACAAAGAAAUUCAGAGUAAAGCUUCCCGAGGAACAGACUCAAAGGAAAUGCAAUGCUUCCCACCAUCCCCACAUCUCUGUGCUCCCUUUCUCCUGCCCCUCCUGAACUGGCAGAGUGCCUCACAUGGGUUUUUGCUUGUACACCUCCAUUUGUUUUCUACUGGUGCAAUCUUUUCCUCUUUAAAUAGCGCUCCCAGCAGCCACAAGAUGGAAAGAUGAGUUACGUCUGGCUUAUGAAGUUGCCAGCUGGAGAUACAAUGAACUGUACUUAGAUCAUAAAUCACGUGCCUGACCCCUCUUCCAACCGUGGCUCGGCUACAACUUCUCUAAUGAGAGAAACAGUCGAAGAGUGGAAGCAGCACUUUGUCCUGGUCAGGAAUAAGAAGCUUGCAGCUUCCAGCUGGUACUUGGGUGAGCGUAGUUUAGCCCCAAAACCUCUCUUAGAGGAUUAUCCCUCUAAAAAUAUCGCACUCGUGAUUCGAUGGGGCAUUGAUCAUGCAGGCUUUUAUUAAUGACAGGACUGUGAUGAUCAGCCAGGUAGCAAAUACAGGGUAAUUCUUCCAAAGUGCUGUGCAGUUGUGGAUGAAGACAAUGUCAGGACGCAGAGGAAUUAUGAGUGCUCAUGAGGAGUUUAAUGCUGUGCACAAAUGGACUGAUGAGAUCCUUGGAUGAAUAAAAUGGAAAAAGCUAAGCAGAGAUAUGGGCUGGUAUUGGCACUUACUGACUUGCCUACACAUCUAAAAGCACAAGUAGGAAAACCGGGAGAUCUCAGAGAAGGGUCAUCUCUAAAAGCCACUUUACAGGGAGAAACCUAAUGGUCUCAAUCCAUUUGGUUUGUCUGAAGAUUGAGAUGGUUUGAACACAAUUUUGUAAGAAUCUGUGCGAGGAGACUAUGCUUCCAGGUCCAUUUAUUUAAGGGCUUGUUUAUAUACAGGGCUUUUAAAUCUAGCAGGUAAAGCCAUAAAAAAGAUUAAGGAUAGGAUGCCCUAAUGUUUUUAUGCAGGGAGCAUAAUAGACCCUCAGACGCUCCACCACAACUCCAGGCAAGCUGUUCCUUCAUGCAGCAUUUCAAAGCCAGAUUUUGAUGACUCUUUAAAAAGCCAGGGUGUAGCUAGAGGUAAAACCUCUUGCUAAGCCAGCUGGAACAAGCAAACUGAUGCUCUGGGGGGUCUGACUAAUGCCCAGCGCUGGGUCUCUCAGAGCAGGUGCCUUUCCAUGGAGCAAGGAGCAUCCAUGGAUGGCUGGGGACUGUCCCCACACCUUGCCAAGGAGGAGGCUUGUUGCACACCAGCCUCCAACCGAAGUGUUGGGGAAGAGGACAGUGGCCAGCCGGGCAGUGGCUGAUGGCCCAGGAGAUGCCGCAGUUCAGGCCACUCACUCUUGCAUCUGCACGCAGAGCCCACCAAGGACAUUGGGGAGAAAACAGGCUCUGCUCCUCUCCCUCCUCGCCUCCUGUUCCCUUUAUUUUUCCCUGCCUUGUUGCUGGGUAACUCUGUUUGCCCAGCAUGGAAGGACUCUGUUUUCAGAAGAACUCAAAACCAAAGCGUUUCUUCUUCAAACAUAGAAAUGAUUAAUCAGAAACUUUGCUUGCUUUUUUUGGUUUAGAUUUUCUAUAUA